rnacentral:rRNA from 1 species
UACGUAGGCAGCGAGCGUUGUUCGGAGUUACUGGGCGUAAAGAGUGCGUAGGCGGUUUUCUAAGUUUGGUGUGAAAUCUCCCGGCUCAACUGGGAGAGUGCGCCGAAGACUGGAAGGCUUGAGUAUGGGAGAGGUAAGCGGAAUUCCUGGUGUAGCGGUGAAAUGCGUAGAUAUCAGGAGGAACACCUGCGGUGUAGACGGCUUACUGGACCAUAACUGACGCUGAGGUGCGAAAGCGUGGGGAGCAAACAGG